rnacentral:rRNA from 1 species
GACGAACGCUGGCGGCGUGCUUAACACAUGCAAGUCGAACGAUGAUGCUGGAGCUUGCUCCAGUUGAUUAGUGGCGAACGGGUGAGUAACACGUGAGCAAUCUGCCCUUGACUCUGGGAUAACUGCGGGAAACUGUAGCUAAUACCGGAUACUUUCACCGGGGGGCAUCCUCUGGUGAUGAAAGAAUUUCGGUCAAGGAUGAGCUCGCGGCCUAUCAGCUUGUUGGUGAGGUAACGGCUCACCAAGGCGACGACGGGUAACCGGCCUGAGAGGGUGACCGGUCACACUGGGACUGAGACACGGCCCAGACUCCUACGGGAGGCAGCAGUGGGGAAUAUUGCACAAUGGGCGCAAGCCUGAUGCAGCAACGCCGCGUGAGGGAUGAAGGCCUUCGGGUUGUAAACCUCUUUUAGCAGGGAAGAAGCGAAAGUGACGGUACCUGCAGAAAAAGCACCGGCUAACUACGUGCCAGCAGCCGCAGUAA